rnacentral:rRNA from 1 species
AGUUUGAUCCUGGCUCAGAUUGAACGCUGGCGGCGUGCUUAACACAUGCAAGUCGAGCGGUAACAGGCGUAGCAAUACGUGCUGACGAGCGGCGAACGGGUGCGUAAUACAUGGGAAUCUGCCUUUUAGUGGGGAAUAACCCGGCGAAAGCCGGGCUAAUGCCGCAUAAGAUCUUCGGAUGAAAGCGGGGGAUCGUAAGACCUCGCGCUGAAAGAUGAGCCCAUGCCGGAUUAGCUAGUUGGUGAGGUAAUGGCUCACCAAGGCGACGAUCCGUAGCUGGUCUGAGAGGACGGCCAGCCACACUGGGACUGAGACACGGCCCAGACUCCUACGGGAGGCAGCAGUGGGGAAUAUUGGACAAUGGGCGAAAGCCUGAUCCAGCGACGCCGCGUGUGUGAAGAAGGCCUGCGGGUUGUAAAGCACUUUCGAUGGGAACGAAAUGUGCCGGGCUAAUACCCCGGCAAGCUGACGUUACUCAAUGAAGAAGCACCGGCUAACUCUGUGCCAGCAGCCGCGGUAAUACAGAGGGUGCGAGCGUUAAUCGGAAUUACUGGGCGUAAAGCGCACGUAGGUGGCGACGUAAGUCGGGUGUGAAAGCCCCGGGCUC